rnacentral:misc_RNA from 1 species
AAGUCGUAACAAGGUUUCCGUAGGUGAACCUGCGGAAGGAUCAUUAAAAGUAAUCAGUACUCUGUACUAAUUAUAAACCCAUCUGUGUAUCUUACCUGUUGCUUCCGUGGGGUGCGGUGGCUCCGGCCGCCGCUUGACCCACGGGAGGUCUACACCAAACCAUUGCAUUGCCAUGAUCUCAGUCUGAAAUGAAAGCAACAAAAGUUAAAACCUUCAACAACGGAUCUCUUGGUUCUC